rnacentral:rRNA from 1 species
AUGGGUCACGCAGCAGCUGCCAACAUCGUGGUGGUCGCUGUGGUUGCGGCGAUGCUCCUCGCGGCGGCGCACACCGCGGACGCCGCCAUCAGCUGCGGCCAGGUGAACUCUGCCUUGGGACCCUGCCUCACCUACGCGCGCGGCGGCGCUGGCCCGUCCGCAGUCUGCUGCAGCGGCGUCAAGAGACUCGCCGCUGCCACCCAGACAACUGCCGACAGGCGCGCCGCGUGCAACUGCCUCAAGAUCUAUGAAGCACCGAUACGGCCAGAACUGGUGUAUCGGCGUACUGCACGCCGCCGAUACUCCGAUACGCAGGAUACGGCUUCGAUACGCGUAUCCCAGGAGUAUCAUGAUUUUAGAUUUAAAAAGAAAGAAAAUAAACUCGAUACGCACUGUGGAGACGGCAGGAUACGGGCGGGACACGGGAAGGACGUCGCCAGCCUCAAGCCCAAUAAGAAGCCCAUGAGCCUAAUCGGGCGGGGGACUGCAGGAGCGCGCCGCCGCCGCCGCCUGGAAUCGCCUUACUUACCACGCCGCCGCCUCGGCUGA